rnacentral:rRNA from 1 species
GAUGAACGCUAGCUACAGGCUUAACACAUGCAAGUCGCGGAGCAGCAUGGGGGUUGCUUGCAAUCCCCGAUGGCGACCGGCGCACGGGUGAGUAACGCGUAUCCAACCUGCCCUUCACCACGGGAUAACCCGGCGAAAGUCGGACUAAUACCGUAUGUUGUCCAUUGACGGCAUCCGAUUUGGACGAAAGGUUUGGCGGUGAAGGAUGGGGAUGCGUCCGAUUAGCUGGACGGCGGGGUGACGGCCCACCGGGGCGACGAUCGGUAGGGGUUCUGAGAGGGAGGUCCCCCACACUGGAACUGAGACACGGUCCAGACUCCUACGGGAGGCAGCAGUGAGGAAUAUUGGUCAAUGGGCGUAAGCCUGAACCAGCCAAGUAGCGUGCAGGAUGACGGCCCUAUGGGUUGUAAACUGCUUUUAUGCGGGGAUAAAGUGGCCCACGUGUGGGUUUUUGCAGGUACCGCAUGAAUAAGGACCGGCUAAUUCCGUG